CCCCUUGUGGUGUAGUUGGAUAUCACAUUCGACUGUAAUUGGAAAAUUGUUUAUCGAAAGGUCACCGGCUCGAUUCCGGUCGAGGGGA